rnacentral:rRNA from 1 species
UACGAAGGGGGCUAGCGUUGCUCGGAAUCACUGGGCGUAAAGGGUGCGUAGGCGGGUCUUUAAGUCAGGGGUGAAAUCCUGGAGCUCAACUCCAGAACUGCCUUUGAUACUGAAGAUCUUGAGUUCGGGAGAGGUGAGUGGAACUGCGAGUGUAGAGGUGAAAUUCGUAGAUAUUCGCAAGAACACCAGUGGCGAAGGCGGCUCACUGGGACGGUACUGACGCUGAGACGCGAAAGCGUGGGGAGCGAACAGG